rnacentral:rRNA from 1 species
UACGUAGGGGGCGAGCGUUGUCCGGAGUUACUGGGCGUAAAGGGCGCGCAGGCGGUCUGGGAAGUUUGGAGUGACAGUGCUCGGCUUAACUGAGCAAGGCCUUCGAAAACUCUCAGACUUGAGCACUCAAGAGGGACAUAGAAUUCCGGGUGGAGUGGUGAAAUGCGUAGAUAUCCGGAGGAAUACCAAAGGCGAAGGCAGUGCCUGGGGAGUGUCUGACGCUCAGGCGCGAAAGCUAGGGAGCGAACGAGGA